rnacentral:misc_RNA from 1 species
GAUGAAGAACGCAGCGAAAUGCGAUACGUAAUGUGAAUUGUAGAUUUCAGUGAAUCAUCGAAUCUUUGAACGCACAUUGCGCCCGCUAGUAUUCUGGCGGGCAUGCCUGUUCGAGCGUCAUUUCAACCAUCAAGCCCUAGGCUUGCGUUGGAGCCCUGCGGCUGCCGCAGGCUCCCAAAUCCAGUGGCGGGCUCGUCGUCGUACCGAGUGCAGUAAACAUCCUCGCUCAGGGAACGUGACGGGUUCUUGCCGUGAAACCCCCCACAUAUCAAGGUUGACCUCGGAUCAGGUAGGAAUACCCGCUGAACUUAAGCAUAUCAAUAAGCGGAGGA